UUUUGGACAAUGGGGGCAACCCUGAUCCAGCAAUGCCGCGUGAGUGAAGAAGGCCUUCGGGUUGUAAAGCUCUUUUGUCAGGGAAGAAACACCGGCUCUAACACAGUCCGGGAAUGACGGUACCGUAAGAAGAAGCACCGGCUAACUACGUGCCAGCAGCCGCGGUAAUACGUAGGGUGCGAGCGUUAAUCGGAAUUACUGGGCGUAAAGCGUGCGCAGGCGGUUUCGUAAGCUGGAGGUGAAAUCCCCGGGCUUAACCUGGGAAUGGCCUUCAGGACUGCGAGGCUAGAGUGCGGCAGAGGGAGGUGGAAUUCCACGUGUAGCAGUGAAAUGCGUAGAGAUGUGGAGGAACACCGAUGGCGAAGGCAGCCUCCUGGGCCAGCACUGACGCUCAUGCACGAAA
rnacentral:rRNA from 1 species